rnacentral:rRNA from 1 species
ACAGCAGCAGCCACGGGAAUACGAAGGGUGCAAGCGUUACUCGGAAUUACUGGGCGUAAAGCGUGCGUAGGUGGUGGUUUAAGUCCGUUGUGAAAGCCCUGGGCUCAACCUGGGAAUUGCAGUGGAUACUGGGUCACUAGAGUGUGGUAGAGGAUAGUGGAAUUUCCGGUGUAGCAGUGAAAUGCGUAGAGAUCGGAAGGAACAUCUGUGGCGAAGGCGACUAUCUGGGCCAACACUGACACUGAGGCACGAAAGCGUGGGAGCAAACAGGAUUAGAUACCCGGGUAGUCCCUGUCUCUUAUACA